UACGGGGGGGGCAAGCGUUGUUCGGAAUUACUGGGCGUAAAGGGCUCGUAGGCGGCCCACUAAGUCCGACGUGAAAUCCCCAGGCUUAGCUUGGGAACUGCGUCGGAUACUGGUGGGCUUGAAUCCGGGAGAGGGAUGCGGAAUUCCAGGUGUAGCGGUGAAAUGCGUAGAUAUCUGGAAGAACACCAAAGGCGAAGGCAGUGUCCUGGGUGGUCGCUGACGCUGAGAGGCGAAAGCCAGGGGGGCGAACGGG
rnacentral:rRNA from 1 species